UACGUAGGUGGCAAGCGUUGUCCGGAAUUAUUGGGCGUAAAGCGCGCGCAGGCGGUUUCUUAAGUCUGAUGUGAAAGCCCACGGCUCAACCGUGGACGGUCAUUGGAAACUGGGAGACUUGAGUACAGAAGAGGAGAGUGGAAUUCCACGUGUAGCGGUGAAAUGCGUAGAUAUGUGGAGGAACACCAGUGGCGAAGGCGGCUCUCUGGUCUGUAACUGACGCUGAGGCGCGAAGGUCAGGGGAGCAAACGGG
rnacentral:rRNA from 1 species